rnacentral:snoRNA from 1 species
GGCAGCCCUGUCAAAUUCAGUCCCUGCCUCCUCCGUGGUGGGGACUGGCCACCCGGCUGCCACAGCAAACUGGGGUCCACGAGCUCCCCAUCCCCUUCCCGUGGGGUCACUGGGGUUGACAUCCGACCACCAACACUG